GGGAGCGUAGCUCAGAUGGUAGAGCUCUCGUUUAGCACGCGACAGGUACGGGGAUGGAUACCUCACGCCUUCA